rnacentral:rRNA from 1 species
GACGAACGCUGGCGGCGUGCUUAACACAUGCAAGUCGCACGGGACCCGCAAGGGUUCAGUGGCAAACGGGUGCGUAACACGUGAGGAACCUGUCCAACGGUGGGGGAUAGCCGGCCCAACGGCCGGGUAAUACCGCGUACGACCUUCGGGGGGCAUCCCCCGGGGGUGAAAGCAGCAAUGCGCCGGUGGAGGGCCUCGCGGCCUAUCAGCUAGUUGGUGAGGUCAUGGCUCACCAAGGCAACGACGGGUAGCUGGUCCGAGAGGAUGACCAGCCACAUUGGGACUGAGACACGGCCCAGACUCCUACGGGAGGCAGCAGUGGGGAAUCUUGCGCAAUGGGCGAAAGCCUGACGCAGCGACGCCGCGUGUGGGAUGAAGGUCUUCGGAUUGUAAACCACUGUCGGGAGGGACGAAGCUCUGACGGUACCUCCAAAGGAAGCACCGGCUAACUCUGUGCCAGCCGCCGCCGUAAAAC